rnacentral:rRNA from 1 species
GGAUUAGAUACCCUGGUAGUCCACGCCCUAAACGAUGGAUACUAGUUGUUGGGAUUUCUAAUAGUCUCGGUAACGAAGCUAACGCAUUAAGUAUCCCGCCUGGGAACUACGAUCGCAAGAUUAAAACUCAAAGGAAUUGACGGGGGCCCGCACAAGCGGUGGAGCAUGUGGUUUAAUUCGAUGCUACGCGAAAAACCUUACCUGGACUUGACAUCCCGGGCUAUUCUGGGAAACCAGAAGUUCCCUUCGGGGACUCGGUGACAGGUGCUGCAUGGCUGUCGUCAGCUCGUGCCG